rnacentral:rRNA from 1 species
UCUGGGACAAGCCCUGGAAACGGGGUCUAAUACCGGAUAACACCUCCUUGCUCCUGCUUGGAGGUUAAAAGCUCCGGCGGUGAAGGAUGAGCCCGCGGCCUAUCAGCUUGUUGGUGAGGUAACGGCUCACCAAGGCGACGACGGGUAGCCGGCCUGAGAGGGCGACCGGCCACACUGGGACUGAGACACGGCCCAGACUCCUACGGGAGGCAGCAGUGGGGAAUAUUGCACAAUGGGCGAAAGCCUGAUGCAGCGACGCCGCGUGAGGGAUGACGGCCUUCGGGUUGUAAACCUCUUUCAGCAGGGAAGAAGCGAAAGUGACGGUACCUGCAGAAGAAGCGCCGGCUAACUACGUGCCAGCAGCCGCGGUAAUACGUAGGGCGCAAGCGUUGUCCGGAAUUAUUGGGCGUAAAGAGCUCGUAGGCGGCUUGUCACGUCGGUUGUGAAAGCCCGGGGCUUAACCCCGGGUCUGCAGUCGAUACGGGCAGGCUAGAGUGCGGUAGGGGAGAUCGGAAUUCCUGGUGUAGCGGUGAAAUGCGCAGAUAUCAGGAGGAACACCGGUGGCGAAGGCGGAUCUCUGGGCCAUUACUGACGCUGAGGAGCGAAAGCGUGGGGAGCGAACAGGAUUAGAUACCCUGGUAGUCCACGCCGUAAACGGUGGGAACUAGGUGUGGGCAACAUUCCACGUUGUCCGUGCCGC